rnacentral:lncRNA from 1 species
GAGAAAAAAAGCGACAAAAAAGAAUAAUGGCGACCUCUGUAAGUGUAUAGUCGAUCAGAUUCAAACAAAGUUUUUAAGAAAAGACGUAAGGAGGUAUGACUUAAACUAGCCUACAUAUAAAAGCGCCGUUAAAAACAAUUGAAAACGACAAUUUCGUGUUUAUUGUGUUUUAAUUUCACGUAAAAACAACCCAAAUGAAACGCAAAAACAAUUUUAAAAAUAAUACAUGUUUCUCUUUAUCCUACAUAUAUGAAAGGGUCUUAAAUCUUCGAAAAUAGUGACGAAACCUGAACGCAAGUUUAUGCUGAACUGUUACUAAUGAGUAUAUCCAAUCGAUCGUCCAAAAUAUUUAAGCUUUAUGUUUCAGAUAAUACAUUAUAAAAACACAAAAAAUAAGCAUAACUACAUUGCGUCUCAUGUUUAAAAUUUCAGCAAAAUGAAUGCACACCAGUAGUUGGUCCGGAGUUAAAGGAAGGUCUUGACUAAAAAUAAUUCCACGUUUUUAUUAAUAGGUAAUUCAGAUAUUUGAAGUUCAUGCAAUUGUAAAGCGUAAUGUUUCAGACAAAAAAUAGAGGAAUCAUAACUGCAUUGUCAAUCAUGUAUUGAAAUUUCGGCAAACCGUACGGCAAAUACAAAAAAAAAAUAUAAUAACCAGGG